rnacentral:rRNA from 1 species
AAUCAACGCUGGCGGCGUGCCUAACACAUGCAAGUCGAACGAGAAAGGGACUUCGGUCCUGAGUACAGUGGCGCACGGGUGAGUAACACGUGACUAACCUACCCUUGAGUGGGGAAUAACUUCGAGAAAUCGAGGCUAACACCGCAUAACACCUACGGGUCAAAGGAGCAAUUCGCUUAAGGAGGGGGUCGCGGCAGAUUAGUUAGUUGGCGGGGUAAGUGGCCCACCAAGACAGUGAUCNGUAUCCGGCCUGAGAGGGCGCACGGACACACUGGAACUGAAACACGGUCCAGACUCCUACGGGA